rnacentral:lncRNA from 1 species
AUACCAGCUUGUGAAUGAACACUGGGGUACUCGGAAGUGUGGCAUACUCCAGUCCUGUGUUUACCGAUAGACCGGAAGUGUGGCUUCGUUUACAGUUCGGCACGUAGGACGGAGGGUAGUGCGUCUAGAGACACAUAUUCCCCACGGAUUUGACGAUGGUGUUCGGUCUUGAAUGGAAAUGUAGUCUUAGGCCAGUCUUAGGUUUUUGAACAGGAUAGUAGGUAUCCGGAGUCGAUUGAGGGCCAGAGCAGGCACUGGGGUUCGGAUCCUGGGCAAAGUUUCCCACGUUGAGGGUCUCGAGGACGCCUAGAUCUCUUUCCCAGGGCCAUGGCGAACCCGAAGCUGCUGGGAAUGGGGCUAAGCGAGGCGGAGGCGAUCGGUGCUGAUUCGGCGCGAUUUGAGGAGCUGCUGCUGCAGGUGCAGUGACCGGACCCCUGGAUCCUUGAGUAUUCGGGGAUUUUGGCGGGGUGCUCAAAGAUGGGACUGCAGUUCCCAGAAUGCACUAAGGCGGGAACCAGGCCUCGGGGAAUUGAGCUCUCAUGCAUAAGAAUUGCUCCAUUUGAGGAACAAAUGAGGGGUCUGA